UACAGGUCCUGUGAUCCAUAAGGAUUUCACUUGAUAGACCCUUCAUCUCUCCAGUCUCUCCCUGUGAAAUUUGUAAUGAAGGAAAGACUGUCCACAGGGAAUGUCAGACAUGAAGAAUACCAGAAGCCUCAGCCCUUUCCUUACCCGUGUGAGAUGGAGAGUCUCCUCUCAGUGGCCCCACCACACCUCCUUCAUUCUCACCUGGGCCUGGCAGCAGACAGACAGCAAGGAACAGGAGGAGAAGUUAGCAGGAGAGGUAGACAGACAGAGACAGGAGAAAAUGAGCAGCAGCUUCUCUUCUGGAUUCUUGACAAAUUGAAGGAACAAGGGCACAGAAGGAGUUCUGACUAAAUUUAUGAAAAGCAGCUUUUUGCAGCUUUUAUAUCAGUGGCAAUAUUUAACUUUCCUCAUAAACACACCAGAUCUGCCACUCUUGGUUUCUUGGAUGCAUUUGUAAAAUGUUCACCUUGAAGUUGUUAGUUCAGAGGGCAGGCUCACCUGUGUAUGAUUAGUUAUUUUAUUAAAGGAGUGUAUUUUUCUCUUAUAAAGAUUUAUGUCCACUUCCAAGUGCAUUAGAUGAUCAAUAUAAGGGAUCAAUUGAAAUCCCUUAUAUUCCAAGGGUAUAAGGGAUGACCGUCUAGAGAUAAUCAACUGGGCCCUCUUAUUGGAAAUAUUAUCUUGUGUUCUGUGAAUUGGGUUUAUUCUAUAGCUCUUUUUUAAAACUAUUGUUUUUUAUCAUCAAUGGCAGUGUUUUACUGUUUAAUAUAAUAUAUACAGUAUAAUACAUAAUAUGACUAAGAAUAUUUAAUAUACUGUUAUCUAAUGUCUAUAGUCUAGGAUUUACUCACCUCUGUAACAGCCCCUUAUCAUGUAACACUUCAUAAGGCACAAAGAAAAAAAUAAAGCAUGUUAAUUUCUAAGUGUACAGCUUGCAAGCACAGGCAUUUUCCUUUCCUUUUAAGGGAGUGCCUGAGCAACAAAGUUCAAAUGCUUUGCUGUCAAGAAGCUGACAGAUUCCUACUGCAUUAACAAAUCACUGGAGUACAGCUUAAUUAGUAGGAAAAUAAACAAAAGAUGUUGACUAAGAAAGGAAACAGCAAAGCCUUUUUUCUGACAUGUAAAAUCCACAGUCCUCUUCUAGGCCCUUCCCUUAUUUCCCAGAGAUAUUAACGAGAAGUCUUUAAUUGGCCUUAGGAGUUUCAACAACUUGACCCUCAAGAGAACACAGAGAGCUGCAACUAGUCAGCUAGACCAGCAGCACUAAUGGCCAGAAAGAGCCAUCUUCUGUCUAAUAAAUAGAAAUCUGUGAAAGGGGGGAUGCAGCAAUUUAAACAAAGUGGUCUCCCAUGUCCUUUUAACACUGACCCUGUUAAGGGG
rnacentral:lncRNA from 1 species